GUUGGGAGGUGAUUAACAGUGUCAUGUUUGUGUUUGUGCUUGUGUGUGUGUGUGUGUGUGUGUGUGUGUGUGUGUGUGUGUGUGUGUGUGUGUGUGUGUGUGUGUGUGUGUGUGUGUGUGUGUGUGUGUGUGUGUGUGUGUGUGUGUGUGUGUGUGUGUGUGUGUGUGUGUGUGUGUGACAGCUACGAGUUCCUCAGCAUAUGCUCCGGAGAAGAAAACGGGAUACUCCACGCGAGCCCACUGAUGCCAACACAAAGAUGUCUGUACUAUAUUUGGUCUUUGAUAAAGAGAAGGGGUCAAUGAAAUCAAAGUCAGAAUACUUGCGUCAUCUGAUGUCAGGCUACAUUAGGAGCAGGAUACAGCUGGGGCUGGGAAACAGUCUGAGUGGUUUGGACUUAGGUCCGGUUCAGGUGUGCGUCCAGCAGGAACAGAGUGAGUCCUCCAUCACUCCAUCAUCCUCCAUCACUC
rnacentral:lncRNA from 1 species